rnacentral:rRNA from 1 species
AGAGUUUGAUCCUGGCUCAGGACGAACGCUGGCGGCGUGCCUAAUACAUGCAAGUCGAACGAACUCUGGUAUUGAUUGGUGCUUGCAUCAUGAUUUACAUUUGAGUGAGUGGCGAACUGGUGAGUAACACGUGGGAAACCUGCCCAGAAGCGGGGGAUAACACCUGGAAACAGAUGCUAAUACCGCAUAACAACUUGGACCGCAUGGUCCGAGUUUGAAAGAUGGCUUCGGCUAUCACUUUUGGAUGGUCCCGCGGCGUAUUAGCUAGAUGGUGGGGUAACGGCUCACCAUGGCAAUGAUACGUAGCCGACCUGAGAGGGUAAUCGGCCACAUUGGGACUGAGACACGGCCCAAACUCCUACGGGAGGCAGCAGUAGGGAAUCUUCCACAAUGGACGAAAGUCUGAUGGAGCAACGCCGCGUGAGUGAAGAAGGGUUUCGGCUCGUAAAACUCUGUUGUUAAAGAAGAACAUAUAUGAGAGUAACUGUUCAGGUAUUGACGGUAUUUAACCAGAAAGCCACGGCUAACUACGUGCCAGCAGCCGCGGUAAUACGUAGGUGGCAAGCGUUGUCCGGAUUUAUUGGGCGUAAAGCGAGCGCAGGCGGUUUUUUAAGUCUGAUGUGAAAGCCUUUCGGCUCAACCGAAGAAGUGCAUCGGAAACUGGGAAACUUGAGUGCAGAAGAGGACAGUGGAACUCCAUGUGUAGCGGUGAAAUGCGUAGAUAUAUGGAAGAACACCAGUGGCGAAGGCGGCUGUCUGGUCUGUAACUGACGCUGAGGCUCGAAAGUAUGGGUAGCAAACAGGAUUAGAUACCCUGGUAGUCCAUACCGUAAACGAUGAAUGCUAAGUGUUGGAGGGUUUCCGCCCUUCAGUGCUGCAGCUAACGCAUUAAGCAUUCCGCCUGGGGAGUACGGCCGCAAGGCUGAAACUCAAAGGAAUUGACGGGGGCCCGCACAAGCGGUGGAGCAUGUGGUUUAAUUCGAAGCUACGCGAAGAACCUUACCAGGUCUUGACAUACUAUGCAAAUCUAAGAGAUUAGACGUUCCCUUCGGGGACAUGGAUACAGGUGGUGCAUGGUUGUCGUCAGCUCGUGUCGUGAGAUGUUGGGUUAAGUCCCGCAACGAGCGCAACCCUUAUUAUCAGUUGCCAGCAUUAAGUUGGGCACUCUGGUGAGACUGCCGGUGACAAACCGGAGGAAGGUGGGGAUGACGUCAAAUCAUCAUGCCCCUUAUGACCUGGGCUACACACGUGCUACAAUGGAUGGUACAACGAGUUGCGAACUCGCGAGGGCAAGCAAAUCACUUAAAACCGAUCUCAGUUCGGAUUGCAGGCUGCAACUCGCCUGCAUGAAGCUGGAAUCGCUAGUAAUCGCGGAUCAGCAUGCCGCGGUGAAUACGUUCCCGGGCCUUGUACACACCGCCCGUCACACCAUGAGAGUUUGUAACACCCAAAGUCGGUGGGGUAACCUUUCGGGGAACUAGCCGCCUAAGGUGGGACAAAUGAUUAGGGUGAAGUCGUAACAAGGUAACC